rnacentral:lncRNA from 10 species
GCGAGGAAACAGGGCCAGAGAAUUGGAACAAAAUACAAGGCUGCCUCUGAAAGGAAUAUCUUUGUGCUGAUGUGUCCAUCAAGAGAACAUACACAGAAGUGACACUUGCCAGUAAUUUGCAAGCAGAUGGAACUUCAAUAUGGCAAUAGAGAAAGAAUCAAUUAGACCAGAGUCUCCUCAGGAAGACUUUCUAUAGGUGGACGGUCCCCUGGAGAGCCCGCUGUGUUGGAAGAUGUAGAAUAUUCAUAUAUCUGGUGAGCAUCUGCUAGAUGCCAGGGUUGGGGAGAGUCAAGUUGAAGCAAGCAUGAACCCUCAAGGACCUACCAUUUCAAGGCAAGAAAUAGAUACAAAUACAGCGUAAUUAUCUCUCCAAUUAAAGAGCAACCAAGGGACAACUGAACUGGAGGUUCUGCAGAAUUACAACUAAGCACGCAGCCGAGGAAUCUACUCAGCUUUGAUCUCUUAUCGCUCUGCACACACAGCCCUUUCUCUGUAAGGCUAGCUGCUCUCAGCAUCACUGUGUCUAAUCAAACGUGUCACACCUCCACUGAGAAAAUAUUUACUGGAUAGCUACUAGACAUAAGGAUGCAGAAAUGAAUUAGAAAAAUUCCUCGCCCUUGUUCAAAGCUAUGCUGGCUCUUAGAACAUCUGAGCCCCCACUGUUUCAUCUUUAGAGGAUCCCAGCUGCUGGGGUGUGAGGCCAGUGCUGGAGCCAGCAGUCUCUGACCCAGAAGGGACCUGAGGUGCUAAAGAAAAGGGUACAAGCUGGAAAAGGGGAAAAUGAAUCAUGCUACAGGCCAAGUGUCCAUCACUGAUUCCCAGAGAUGCCCUUUGUGUGGUAGGCACUUCCAUGUGGACUCGCUACAGAGGUCAUAAGACCCUAAUUCCAGAGGGCCCUACCCUAUAACCAGAAGGAAGAACUAUUGCACAGAGAAUCUAAGAAGAAUCUAGACAGACAGCCCUUGCUGGAUUUCUCCACUCUGUUAGCAUUCGAUCAUUUGCCUUUUGUCCAGUCAUAUUUCUGCAUGGCUGUCCAUACUUUGUUGAACCUAAGCACAAAAUGGAAAGUUUUCCCUGUAUCUUUGGGUCGUCAUUCUGAAGGCUCCCAUGUUAUGUAAAACUAUGAUCAAAUAAAU